UGUGUGUACGUAUGCGAUCAGAAGAAGGAGCCAGGAGAGCUCAAACCCUAGUUCAGCAAAUCCUCCAAAUCGAAGCUCAAAUCAAGCCCGAAUCGUCUGCAUGAUUACAAAUUCGUGAUCGCCUAGUCGUGGGGAUCAUAAGGUGUACCUUAUAUGCUUGCGAAGUUGACUCUAAACAAGCUAGGUGGGAGCUUGAAAAGGGACGGGUCAAACGGAUCAUGGAUGCGAAGAAUGUUUGCGCGGACGCGAGGUAAGUAUAACUUACACUAGUCAUAUAUUUUAGAAUGUUCUUUUGUCGUGUUGACUACGAAUAAGACAAAUGAUAAUUUAGUCACACGUUGACAAUAAUCGUUAGUUUUAAAAGACGCUUUCCCGCGUAAGACAUAAAGAGCCGAAAGUGGUAAUAAACGGUUUAUAAAUAAAAUGAGCAUACGGUGUUAAAAAGAGCGAGUCAUGUAGAUGAGAUGAUAAUAAAUAUUAUCUCGCAAAGAUAAACGGUCAAUUCGGCCAAACGGGUCAAAAGGUGUAGACAUCACCUUUUGACAAUAUCGACUAAUGAUUCUGGUGUCGAGUUAUAUGUUUACAGGAGUAGGUAUCCAAUGGAUACUCGCAUCGCUCUUAAUUAGCAAUUAUAAAGCAAGGUAUUAAACCGGGUUAGUAAGUUGAUCCGAGCCAGGUAUGUAUAAUAUAUUAACUCAUCAUGUAGAACUUGAAGUUCUAUAAAAGUUAGGCAAAAUAAAAAAAAAAGAAGGGCAUUCGGUUACCUUAAUAGGUAAACCGAAGGAUUUAAAUUAUUUAGACAGAAUGUUUUGAAAACAAGAUUUGGUUAAAAAUGAGAAAUUAGAGUCAAACAACAGGUUUGUUUGAUAAAAUCACGAACGGGUCAAAUUUGGUAAAAAGGGGUAAUAAGCCGAAGACUUAAAAGUCUUAAAUUUUGUUAAUCCAGAUGUUGGGUCUUGACUCCAUUUGAUGGAGGUUCAAUUUACAAUCACGUAGGAAGAAACGGUAGGUUAAACAGACAAGCGGAUUAAAAGUUAUGAAGGUUUCCGUUUUAGAAAUCGGCAAACUUGGAAAAUCUUGCAGAGGCCACCGUAAGUUACGGUAGCUACCGUAACUUACGGUAGCCUUAAAAAUCUUUACGCCUUAAACCCACUGAGUUACGGUGGAAGAUUCAACAUUCAGGGGCUACCGUAAAUUACGGUAGCCACCGUAAUUUACGGUAGACCCUGUAACAAAAUUUAUUUUAAUCAGUUUCGUUUCCCAGAACUCGUUAGACACGUUUAUAACCCCCGUAAGACUAAAGCAUUUCUUGUUUAUGAAAUGUAGGUACAUUUUGGAUGCCGGAAGAUGAUCAAGCUCAUUGGAGAACCGAACACGAUAAAGAUACAUGCUUCCGCACAGUGUCUCGUCGUAAAUUUUAAACGACGAAUUCAAUUACGUUAUGUCGAAUAACUUAUGAUUUGUAAAAGUUUUAAUAAACCCGUAUUUUUAUAGUAUGUGUAGUCUUAUCUACACAACUACUUGUUGGUAAUUAUAUGUAAAACCGUUAAAUAGUAAUUAGGAUGUUACAAGUUGGUAAUCAGAGCUCAUGGUUAAAGAGUAAGGUGUGUUCGGUUCGAGGCUUGAUCGCAAAUCCGGUAAGUACAUCUAUGCUAAUAGUUUAGCAUGCUAAAGUGUUGUAAACAACACAUGGGGUUAUCGUGUGAUACACGUUACCUCAAUUAAGCGAUAAAUGUAGUUGACAAAGUUACGUGUGUUGACACAUAUAGUACAAAAGUCUUGUAUUAUGAUACGGGCAUUUGGUAAAGUUGACAUUACUAACUUUUGUGAAUGUCUUGAUUGAAGGACACUUGCGUUUAAAGAUGACAAAGGUUAAACAAAUUAAAGAUGUGAUAGAGGGACAGUCCGAGGCAUGACGAGAGGAACAUGCUCACUAAGGACUAAAUCGCGUAAAGACCGCGAACAAGGUUAAUGGCAAGAAACGCCCGUCGGGGCAAGCAUUAUCAGGUGCGUGCUUUUAAAUAUAAUCGCGCAAUUAGUAAUGUGCAACAAACAUGUAAAGAAUGAUUGUCGCAUAUGUAAAUUAGAAACUUGAGAAACCUGAAUAGAAUACCUAUCCAGGAUAUUAUCUCCAAGAAAACUAAAUAGAGGUGUUACUUACAUGGGAUGUGAUGUGAAAACUAUAAAAAGGUCGUGUAUGUCAUGUGUUAAUCGCUUACUCUGGCCAAGUAAGUAGUGGCAUAUGAUACCAUGAGUUUCUUAUAGCGGACACAUUAUAUCUGAUGUAGUAAGGACGGGGUAAAUGGGACAAAUUAAAAAGUACCCAAAAGAGUCAAGUGAGCAAAAUAUUUGAUAAUAAUGUAAACGCACAGCCGAGUGACGGAAGCGUAUUAUAUUAAGAUAAUGAGCCCGAGUGAAGGGACAAAGAAACACGUAAGAUGAUCAGAAUACGUAUCGGGAGGGGGGUGUACUUACACUCGAACCCGGAAAAUGCAAAUAUGUAAAAUGAUGUAGACAUGUAUUGGGAGGGGGUGUACUUACACUCGAACCCGGAAAAUGCAAACAUGUAAAAUGAUGUAGACAUGUAUUGGGAGGGGGUGUACUUACACUCGAACCCGGAAAAUGCAAAUAUGUAAAAUGAUGUAGACAUGUAUUGGGAGGGGGUGUACUUACACUCGAACCCGAAGAAUAUAAACAUGUAAAAUGAUCAAGAUAUGCAUUGGGAGGUAGUGUACUUACACUCGAACCCGAAGAAUGCAAAUAAGACUCUUAACGGGCCGAUUUUGUAAAACACCAAAUUUGAGAACAAAGUAGGAAUAUAAAAGCGAAACAAAGUCAUAAUGCAUACCGUAAGGGUUGCAAUAAUAACGAAUUCGGUAAAACACCCGGUUGGUGGGUAAGGAUUUAAACACAUGCGUAGACUGAGAAACAGGAACGCGCAUGGAAAGUCAAAAGACUCGGGUUUUGGGUCAUGACCAAAGGACGAUAAGAUAACGGCAAAUAGAAAUUUUGAUGAAUUACACUCAACUAUUUUAAAGUUGAACGGGUCGAACAAAGAUUGAAGUUUGACAUUUAUAAGUGAUGAAAUUUUCACACGAACAAGUCAAACAAAAUUUAAAAAAAAAAGGAUGACUCUUGCUAAAGUAAGUAAGCACGAAUCAAAUAAAAAAAAGUACGAAAUAUUAGUAAACCUAUGUAAAAGAGUUAAAGGUGUUAAAAACAUUAGAAUAAAAGAACCCGGGUAAUGGGACGUAAAGAAGUAUAGGUAAGGACCGGUUAACAGUAAGUGUAGGGCAAACCGACGUGUAAUUGACGUUAGAAGUCAAGGAGUCGGAAGGAUAAUUCGAAAGAAAACAAUGUAGCCUUAGACUACAGUCAAGGUCAAACGA
rnacentral:lncRNA from 1 species